GAUGAACGCUGGCGGCGUGCCUAAUACAUGCAAGUCGAGCGAACAGAUGAGGAGCUUGCUCCUCUGACGUUAGCGGCGGACGGGUGAGUAACACGUGGAUAACCUACCUAUAAGACUGGGAUAACUUCGGGAAACCGGAGCUAAUACCGGAUAAUAUAUUGAACCGCAUGGUUCAAUAGUGAAAGACGGUUUUGCUGUCACUUAUAGAUGGAUCCGCGCCGCAUUAGCUAGUUGGUAAGGUAACGGCUUACCAAGGCAACGAUGCGUAGCCGACCUGAGAGGGGGAACAGGCCAAACGGGACCGGAGACAGGGCCCAAAUCCCAAGGGGAGGCAGAGGUGGGGAAUUUUCCGCAAGGGGGGAAAGCCGGCCGGGCAAACGCCGGGGGGGGGAGAAAGUUUUUGGGUUCGAAAAACCUUUUUAUUGGGAAAAAACAAAUGGUGAAAUAACUAUGCCCGUUUGAAGGGACCCAAAUAAAAAACCCCGGCUAAACUCGGG
rnacentral:rRNA from 1 species